GUGUCUGUCUGUGUUUGUCUGCUUAUGACUUCAGACUAAUGCUAGUUCUGCACAGAAUUUAAUUGUAGACAAAAGCUCAAAAUACGUAGAUAGAGGGUCAGAUAGAUAAAUAAAUAAACAUAUUAUCUCAGAAUAACUACAUCAAUAUCAAGAGUAAAGCCCCUUUUGUCACUGCAUAUGCAGCAGCUCUGUAGAGAAUAGCCUGUUCUUUGUUGCCAUCCAAGGAGACAUCAUUUUAUUCGACACCCAUGGAGCUGCACAAAUAAGAGUCAGCAGGCAUCAAGCCAUCCUCCUGGAAAAAAAAUUGGCAUCUCCCUCUCUGGCACAUCUGGUUUAAUCCUAUUUGGCAUUGGCUGUGCAGUAAACAAUGCUGUGGAAGUUGGAAAUGAAAAGUAGAAGAAUGUGGGAAGGCGCUGAACAGAAGCAGAGGAAGAGACGCACAUAGUUAAGACACUUCGCUCUGGAGCAGCUGGAUAGCACAGUGGCAUAGGACUCACAAGUUGCAAGAAAGGCUGUUCCCCUUUAAAUGGAUUGAAUCAGGCAGGACUGCAGGGAGAGACCCGCAACAAACUCUCAGAUACCCUAUUAAGUGGGCUUGGUGUAAGUAAGGCCAUUGGUUUUGGACACUCAUUAAUUUGAUUUAUUAGCUUCAAUUCCAAUUAUAUUGCAUUGUGUUAUCUUGCAUUCUGCUAUCAUACUUAGUAAAUUUUCUCCCUUAGCUCAUUGCUGUUGUUUAGUUUUUAGGCCCAACUCCCUACUUUUCCCUACCCCCCUUCCAAUUCUCACAGGGCAUGGGUCCAUGUGUUCCUCCAUCCCAUUAGCCAGGGGCCUGAACUGUUGACAGAGGGUUUAGUCCAGAAGAAGAAAUGACAAACAUGUAAAUUCCUGUCCCACUUUCCUUAUUUUAUGCUUCAAACUACCUGGUACCAGAUCACCUACCUGUUAAUCUAGAGAGGCUCAGGAUGAGCUCAGGCUCUUCUUCCAAAGCACUACCACACAGUGACACCGGGGCUGCUACUCAAUGCAAGAAUCAGGGUUUCCCCUUCAUAAAAAAAGCAGAGGUGUCUCAUUUUCCCCCUUUCAUCUGAAGAAAUCUUAUCAGCAGCAAAAUGUCUAAGGGAUUACAUGACAACAAUAACAACAACAAAGAAACCUAACAACUCAUUCAAAUUUUUAUUUUCUCUAUAUCAGAGCAAUCAUUAAAACUGAGCAAACUCAAAACCAAAUUAAAAUCCCUCUGCUACCACCAGCAGGCAAUGGUCUUGAAUCUGUGAUUUUAAAGUGGUGGAAGGCUUAGUGUUGCUAUUGCAGCAGAACAGUGUGUUGUAGUUUCCCUCUCAGCAAAUCUCAUAUACUUUAUUACAUAGGAAUAUCCAGGUCUUUCUGCUGCUAUUCUAACUAUACAUUCAGUGGUGCAAAUACCUGAAAACCCAUGACCCCCUUCAGUCAUUAAAUUCAAUUUCCCACUCUCCUUACUUCUUUUCUGGAAUAAUUGGCAUCUGAGCUCAAUGGCUCAGUCUCUAACUCCUUAAAUUAAGCAUGCUGUGGUAUGGCUGGCACCACAGAGAACACAGGUGUUGGCUGGAAUCUUACAGAAAAGCAGGAAAAAAUAGGAAAAGAUAUCUGAACUGUCCAACUGUGUCUUCAUCACACAAACUCCUCAUUUGUCAUAUAUUUUCAAGAGGAAUAAUUCCUAACAAGUCUGGGGAUAUCACGUUCUGACUGGUAUGGGUUGGAGAUAUACUAAAACUCUUUCAAUAACAGUAGAGCUAGAAAUGAAUUAAAAUUUAAUGGUUCACUGGCCUUCCCUCCAAGUGUACUGAAAUCUGACCUGUAUGGCUGGAAAAACAGAAAGAACAAAUGAGGAAGACUGGAUUUCAAUUCGCUCGUCUAAUGUUUAAUGUUUCCUCUAUUUAAGUUCAAGGACACAAAUAGGCUCAACUGUGCGAUACAUUUAGAGCUCUUUUCCACCUGGUCAAAAUUUCUACAGAACAUUAGUGUAUGGAGAUCAGUUUAGAUACAUUACUACAAAGCAAUGUGAGAAUUUUAUCUCUAAGCUUUAACAGGAAGAUUAGGCAAUUGAUGACUCCUUGAGGUCUCCUCUUUCUCUAUGAGUGUUUGAGUUUCAGGGAUAGGUAGUUGGAUAGGUAGCUGAAGGAGAAGCAGUGCAGAUCACACUGUAGGAAUAACCCAGAUUGCACCAUGUAACUCUGAGAAAAAAUAGGGAUGAAUUAAACCACUCUGAUGACCUACAUCAAAAGUAUUUGUUGUCUAAGAAAAUGCCAAGAUAAGGAGUGGUUGGAAACUGGACAGCCAAGAUCCAAGAAGAAGCUAAAAAUAAGUUUCCAGAUGAUGCAUGAAACAUUUCUUUAAAUAAAUUCUAAGAAUCUUAAAAACAUGGAAAUGAAUUUAAGUUCCCAGAUGUUACCUUCAGAACAUAGCUAAAACCUUGUCAGUUAUUACAAAUUAACAUCUUUGCUCACUGUACAUAGCUCACUGCCAGAUGAAAGCCCAGUUUCUUUGAUAAUUCAUGCCUAGUCUGGAGUUAAAGAGUUGCUGACCUCAAGCUCCAGUCUGACUCCAAAGGUCUGAUUCUCCAAUCAUCUCAUCAUAUAUCUCAUUAUCUCAUCAUCUUUGACGAGAUUGAGUACACUCUCAGCAAGUUUGAGGAUGACAUCAAGAUGAGCAGUGUGGUUGACACUUGGAGAGAUACGGAUUUGAGGGGUGGGCUAUUCAGAGGAUAAGGAAUUGGUUCAAAGGCCAUAGACAGAGGGUUAUGGUAAAUGGCACUAUGUCCAGGAGGAGGCCGGUGAUGAGUGAUGUCCUUCAGGGUUCUGUCUUGGAACUGGUGCUUUUCAAUAUCUUCAUCAUUGAUGCCAGUGAUGGGUUCAAGUGCACCCUGAGCGACUUUCCCGAUGAUACCAAGCUGAGCAGUGCAAUUGGCAAAUUAGAAGGAAGGGAUGCCAUCCAAAGGGACCUCAACAAACUCAAAAGGUGGGCCCUUGUGAAACUAAUGCGAUUCAACAAAGCAAAGUGUAAGGUUUUGCACUUGGGUCAAGGUAGUUCUAGCUAUGUAUACAAACUGGGAGAAGAACUCCUUGAGAGUAGAACUGCUGAGAAGGAUUUAGAAGUCCUGGUCAACUAAAAACUGAACCUGAGACAGCAGUGUGCGCUUGCAGCCUGGAAGAUCAGUGGUAUCCUGGGUUCAAUCUGAAGAGAAGUGGCCAUCAGGACAAGAGAGGGGAUUGUCCCCCACUAUUUUGCUCUCGUGAGGUCCAAGAUGGAGUACUGCAUCCAAGUCUGGGCCCCAGUACAGGAAAGAUUUGGAGCUCCUGGAGAGAGUCCAGAGCAGGGCCCUAAAGAUGAUCCAAGGGCUGGAGCACCUCUCCUAUGAAGACAAGCUAAAGGAACUGGGCUUGAUCAGCCUGAAAAAAUGAAGGCUGUCAGAAGUCCUCAUUGUGGCCUUCCAAUAUAUAAAGGGAGUUUAUAAACACAAAGGAAAUAAACUUUUUAUACGGGGAGAUAGUGAUAGGAAGAGGGGGAAUGGUUUUAAACUAAUGGAAGGGAAAUUUAGGCUAGAUGUCAGGGGAAAGUUAUUAACUGAGGGAGUAGUCAGGUGCAGGAACAGGUUGACUAGAGAGACUGUGGAUACCCCAUCCAUAGAUGGUGUUUAAGACCAGGACGGAUGUGGCCCUGGGCAAUACGGUCUAGUACUUGAUCUUGUGGCUGGCAACCCUGUAUGUGGCAGGGGGGUUGGAUCUUGAUGAUCCUUGAAGUCCCUUCCAGCCCAAGCUGUUCUAUGAUUCUAUGAUUAUCUCAGUGACAGAGUCAGUGGGAACAAGUCAUUUCACUAGCAUACAUUUUAGUCUUCCUAUCUAAGAGAUGUAAACAACAAUAAAGGCAACUUCAGUAAAUUUCUCUGAGAUCUUAUGUACUCUCUGAAAUGUUAUGUACUAUAUCACAGCUCAGUGACAUUGCACUUAACAGCUUUGCUGGUAUCAUCUUUCUGAAUCUGUGACGAACAGUGAAAACCACUGUGAUCUCUUUCCCAUAACGAACAUGUUUUCUGAGACUGUUUCUAUUUCCAAGUUCCUGGUGUGACUUCCUGAUUGCUACAGGGACAUUUUUAAAGCCCAGAUCACUGCUUUAUGUUCAAAGAUGAUGCCCACAAAUAUGGCCUUCCAUGAAAAAACAGCAGUCAUGAGUUUCUGGGGGAAAGCAUAUCAUUUUAGUCUACAUUUGCAUAUUAGAUUCUACAGUGAGCUCAUGAACUCUCACUGGAACUGAUAAAGGCUACGGUAAUAUGCAGAGUAAUAAGAAUGUCUAUAACUUCAAAGGAAAGCCCUGCCCAAAUUAAUUUUUUCUUCUCCUAAUGUUAUUAAAUAGACAGAUGAGGAAGCUGCAAUGCACUCUGUGAGCUUUAUAAUUUGAUUUCUGUUAAUAUUCGUGUAGAAUCACCACAACCAAUUCGCAUGCAUGCAGUAAUCCAUAGUAGGUCAUCCUAGAGCCCAGGGGUCAGAUGAGAGCCUCAGACAUCCCUGACAUGAGAUCUGCUUUCAAUGAGAAGAAGAAAGUGAAAUAUCUUCCACAUGUUCUGAGGAGCUGUACUUUCAGCUUUUCACACUUCCUUCCCCCCUCUCCAACCCCCCCCCACCCCCUUCCCAAUUUAAUCUGUUAUUAUUGCACAAUUUCAAAUAAUAACGUCUAACAUCUAUGCCUAACUGAACUGUAGGCUUUUCCUCUUCAUUGUCUUCUCUGACAUGGUCAAGGACCAGAUAAUUAAGAAAAUUCACAGAAGCUUUCUUCUGACUGACAUUCCCUUCACAGUCAGUGUUUACUCUCUGCACAUCUUUAUUUAUCCCUUUACAUGACUAAAGGUCUUGUCUUGAAAGGCCUGAUGCACAUGCUAGUUUUGUAAGCUAAUGAAGAAUGAAAUAAAUAUUUUUUUUCUCUUUUUUUUUCUUUCCAAUUUUGUUACUCUCUGAUGUAUAAAAUAUACUCUACUUUUGCAUCAGAAGAGUUCUGUAGCUUUCUUUAUGCAUACACAAUUUGUCUUCAUUUCAGUUUUGAUUCAGAAUGCAAUGAGGAACACAAGAAGUCAGCUAAAUCUCACUGAUAUACACACCCUGUGGAUCUCAGAUUGCAGUAACCUGUAUAACUUAAUGUAUCAGUAUUUGAUUUCCCUGUUGUCACUUUCAAACCUCUAUAUUUUACUCAACAUUGUUGUUAUAUAAUUUUGUUGCAAUAACUGAAUACCUUCAGGAAUUGCAUGGCAUAGCACUUAUGAGGUUUUAAGAUUUCUCCUUCCACUGCAGAAAAAGUUAAUUGCACUGGGUCUGUGCUUUGCCAGUACUGAUUAACACAGAAGCUGAAACUGCAGCUUAAUGUUCUGGCUAUGAGCAAGGAGUCUGAUUCAUUGAUACCCUUCAAAUACCUGCCCUCCAGCAUCCCUUGUUUCUUCAUGAAACUCCAAAGACAUUUCUACAAGAGUUUGAAAAUACCAGAGUUUUGUUUUACUGCUAUGAAUCAAAAAUACUGCAGAUGGAAGGAAACUUUAAGGUUUCUAUGCAUGUUACAAGAAACUCCACAGAAUUCAGUUAUAUUUGAGAUCCCAUCUCAGCUGCCCCAUGAACAUACAGACUUGUAACAACUUCCUCUGGCUUAUAGAAAACAAAACAAAAAGCUUUCACAAUAUGCAAUUAUAGAAUUAAAAGAUUUUAAGAAAACUAAUCACCCCUUUAUUUAUUUAUUUAUUAAUAAUUGAUAAUCAGUUUCCAAGCAAAAGGCCAAACAAAGUGGUAGGAAGCAGAAUGGAUAAGUGCUGGAAUUUCUUAUAUCUGAUAUUCAAAGCAUAGCCGAUGGAUUUCUAAGUCUGAAAUAUAGAAAUCCUUGAAGGACAUUGAAUGGUAACAAACAAACAGCAAGAAAAAAACAACAUCACUUCUAACUUAAAAUCCACAUCUUAGUGCCAUAGAUCCUAUUACUGUAUUAUUGUUUGUUCAAUAACUAUUACCUAUCAUCAUAGCUAUACCACCAACUUUGUGGUUGUACAUUUGCAUUAUAACAUCACUUGCUCUUCUGACACCUUCAUAAUUUUAAAUCCUUCAAUCCUUUCUUGAUGUUUAGCUUACACUUUCCUAAUCCAAUAUUUAGGAAAUAUCUGCCACAGAAUCAGCUUCAAUUAUAUCUGUUUAAUUCAUUACAUGCUUGUGUGGGUUCCUAAUAUACAUAUCUAAUUUUCUUUGUGCCCAUCAUCCAACAUCACUACCAGUGAAACCUCAUCUCACCAAUGAGCUAUGGAAGUACUACAUCUUUCUGAGGAAGAAGCUCGUCAUUUGCCUUCACAAAGCAAGUUAAAAUGGCACGAAGAAUCAGGAAACUUGUCAGCUGAGUUUUUACUUACCCUGUGAGACCAUUCUUUAGGAAAAAGGUGAAUAAAAUGAAAUACAUCUAUGAAAUAAUAAAUCUUCCCAAACUGACGGGGGUUAGCAAACAGGAAUAAGGAGCAGGGGUCAGAAAGGACAAGUCAGCAUGCAAAUGAUCAUAAAACUCAAUAGAAUUGGGUACAGAACUCCCUCAUAAGCUUUUGUAAAUGAUCCCCAAAACUCCUGCAUAGGGUAAGCAGCAGCAUGUCAGACAACUUGGACACACCAAAUUCAGAAUAAUGCCAAUUGGAGAACUGCGGUGUGUCAGUAUGAGAUAAAAUAUCCACUGUUUCACUUGGGAUAAAAUAUCGAACCAGGUCUUCCGAGCUCAUUACAGGAUGUAACAUCGAUGUUUCCAUUAAGAAUGUUGUAGUUUCUCCAUUCACACAUCAAAUUAAAAAAAAAAAAAAAGGGGGGAGGGGGAGGGGGGGACAAAAUAAAACUAAGCUACAUAACUAAAGAAAUUCUGUUAACAGAAGUUGUAUAUGGGCUGCUGAGGACUCCUUGAUAAUUAAUGACUGCUGGACAGACCCAAAACCUGAAAUGACCAGACAGACCAGUGUCCAGUAAGUGACAGACCAUAUAAUUACAAAAUUACAGAGCAUAAAAACCUCUGACUGCUUCCAAUUAUAAUGUGAAAGGGCAACUUCACAGUUGUGCCAGUUAGUAGUGCUGGGGAAAGGAAAAGGAAAAUGUGUUAAAGGCCUAAUGAGGUGUGUGGGUGGAAGUUACUGCCAUAGUUUGCGGCUGUUCAGGUUGUUAGUUCCUACAAUGUGUCACUAUUCAAGAGAGAGAGAAGGGGAGGGAGGUAGAGAUGGGAGUGUUUGAGGGGGAAGGCAUUUUCUCACUGGGCUAACAGAAAUAAAGUGCAAGCAGAGAUUUGCUUUCCCUUACUUCUUCCUGAACACAUCUGACAACAGAUUUUAAAAGAGCCAUUUAAGUUUCCCAGACAGUUUCGGUAAUUGAUUCAGAAUUUUUACAGUCCAGGAGACAUACUUGUUUAUUUUAGCAGGCUGGGGAAUUGUUCCCUCGAAGCCUUUAAAACAAAGACAUAGAGCUCUCAGUAUAUCAGCAGGAGCAGACAGCGCAGAGGAAACACUACACACAGUGUUAGAUGAUACCCCAUCCCCAAAAGCAAGACGUCAGCUGUGGCCUUUUGAGGUCUGGUUAAAUCCUGUCCACAGAGCAGCAAAAACACACAACUGGUCCUUUAUGUGCUUCCACCUUCAGAAUGCUUUUCAUGCUACACACUGUCUCUGGAACCACUCACCUAUACUGAUAGGGCUGUGAUAUUGGACAAGACUCCAUGUUCCUUGAACCACAUGGCUGACAUGCUCCCCAGAUGCACUAAGGCCAUGUAACCUUCUCUUUCUGUGACCCAGCAUACUCUCUGCUUCAUUGCUGACCAUAACACCUUGUAACAUGGUCACCAGACAAGGACAGCUGAGAGGAAGAAAACUGACCACAGUGUUGUCUCAUUUCACAGUCCUUUCAGUGCCUAACACUAAUUUAAAACAGAGAUUACCUCCUGAGCAGUAUUCCAAGAGAGGUUUGCAUCCCAUUCUUUAGGCAAGGAGAAAGGUGGGUGCCUUAUUCUGCAGUGUAGGUUUCUUACUCUGUGCAGUGACUGCAUGUUCUGUAGAGAUGUAAUAGUAAGUAGCAAUUUGCCGUUCCAUGAAGACAGUGCAGUAUCAGUCCUUUGAGAUGCCAUUCAGACUAUUGAGUCCCGUGUGCUCUUUCCAGAACUGAUGUAUUCAGGAGGCUCUAAAUCCUGCAUUAUUAAAAAAUGUUUGGCAAUAAAGUGAAAUGCCAAAUGGAAAAGACACAUAUACAUUUUUUUUUUUUCUCCUCUGUUGUUCUCCUCUUACUUUUUUCCAGAAAAGUAAGACCAUGCAAUUCCAUGACUGUAUUUUGGAUAGAGAACAGUGUCUUGAUUUAUUGUUGAGCACAUGUAUUACAGAAUUUCUUCUUCUUGGGUUGUGUCGCAUAAUGAUUUGUUUCUGUAUUAGACUUAAAAUACUACAGAUUCUGCAGGACGAGUGUUCAAGAGAGAAAAGUAUUAAAACAACACAUGCUUCAUGAAGACCAAGACAAGGAAUAAACAGACAGUGCUAGAGCCAAGAAAAGAAGUAGUUACCGUGCAAAAAUUUAGGUGACAUACAAAUACACUAAUAAUUCAAAAAGCUUUCUCACAGCCAACAUACAACUUCAACUGCUGGCUGUCUCCCUGCUCUUAUGAUCUUUCCAAUCCUCAUUGACCACAAGGGAAUUAGUUGGCCAGUUUCUAAAGAGAAAUCCAGGUGUUAGGCCUUCCUUGCUCCUACACCACCAAACAUCAGGAUCCAGAAGCAUUCUCAAUUCAGUGUCAAUGACAGGAUCUGAGCCCUGGAAAAUGCAAUUAUGGCCACUUUUCUUUACAGAAGAUGUAAGAGUGCUCUUAGUGCACACUAUAGACACUGUGGACAAAGAUUUCAGCAUUCACCUCACAGCUCCUCUAUCAGAUUGGAACAUGCUUCCACCUCUUUACAGCAAAGUCUCUUAGACACGUGACUAUAGAAUCUUCCAUAAUGAGAACCCUUUAGCUCUGUUGCUCUUCGCUACACAGAAAAGAGGUCAAAAUUCAAGAGAUUCUAAGUAUCUUGCAGGAUUUCUUGCCCUGGGAUGUUCCAAAGACCAGUGCCUUCUUCAAGAAUACUUACUUCAUUGUAUCAUCUAUCACUAUGGCACUAUGUGACACCAGGAGAGAUACUGCAACUGCUGUUUCAAUACCAAGAAAUCAUGUCAAAAUGAACAAACAAAUCAAAUGAAAAGGUUCUCCAGUGGUUCUUGUACCAAAAGAAGAGCCCUAUCCUUGCUCAGGUUUUGGAAGAUGAGAAGUGAGCAGUAUGAACUUGAAGAAUGAGCUUGAUCAGAGAGAGGCAUUUGCCUGUGAGCCAGAACCAGGCUCCUGCCAUCUGCACCCAGCGCAGCAUUGAUGCCAAGUGGAGGCUGUUUCCCUGUCCCUGGCUGAAGUCAUUGCAUUGAAGGGCCUAAAACUUCUGGGCACUCUAUAGGCAAUUGAUGGACAUGAUAUAAAUACUCUGUGUGAUUUAGGCUGCAUUAUGCCAAUUAUGUUAAUUCAUGGUCUGAUUUUCAGGAUCAAAACUGCAUAUGUCCUUCCAGUAAGGCUGUCUGUAAGGUCUAAUUCCAGGUUUUGAACCUUUCUCCAGAUGACUAGGGUCAUAAAUACAUAGCAUCAAGUUUCUAAUUCUACAAUAUUAAGUUCCUAAUACACUGCAAAGCUCUUGAAAAUGUUGUCUGUGGGUUUUGCUUAAUAUGUGAGACCUAUUUGAAAAUGCUGGCAAUAUGUUUACGCUUGAAUUACAUUCUCCUUCAUGAGUUGUGCAAUUUGAGUUGCCUGAGCGUCUUCUUUCUUUCUUUAAUAAACCUGUUUUAUUGAAA